rnacentral:rRNA from 1 species
CUUGAAGAUCGGAGUGCUUGCACUCUGUGAAAAAGAUACAGGCUAGCGGCGGACGGGUGAGUAACACGUGGGUAACCUGCCCAAGAGAUCGGGAUAACACCUGGAAACAGAUGCUAAUACCGGAUAACAACAGAUGAUGCCUAUCAACUGUUUAAAAGAUGGUUCUGCUAUCACUCUUGGAUGGACCUGCGGUGCAUUAGCUAGUUGGUAGGGUAACGGCCUACCAAGGCGAUGAUGCAUAGCCGAGUUGAGAGACUGAUCGGCCACAUUGGGACUGAGACACGGCCCAAACUCCUACGGGAGGCAGCAGUAGGGAAUCUUCCACAAUGGACGCAAGUCUGAUGGAGCAACGCCGCGUGAGUGAAGAAGGGUUUCGGCUCGUAAAGCUCUGUUGUUGGUGAAGAAGGACAGGGGUAGUAACUGACCUUUGUUUGACGGUAAUCAAUUAGAAAGUCACGGCUAACUACGUGCCAGCAGCCGCGGUAAUACGUAGGUGGCAAGCGUUGUCCGGAUUUAUUGGGCGUAAAGCGAGUGCAGGCGGCUCGAUAAGUCUGAUGUGAAAGCCUUCGGCUCAACCGGAGAAUUGCAUCAGAAACUGUCGAGCUUGAGUACAGAAGAGGAGAGUGGAACUCCAUGUGUAGCGGUGAAAUGCGUAGAUAUAUGGAAGAACACCGGUGGCGAAGGCGGCUCUCUGGUCUGUUACUGACGCUGAGGCUCGAAAGCAUGGGUAGCGAACAGGAUNNNAUACCCUGGUAGUCCAUGCCGUAAACGAUGAGUGCUAAGUGUUGGGAGGUUUCCGCCUCUCAGUGCUGCAGCU